GAUGAACGCUGGCGGCGUGCUUAACACAUGCAAGUCGAACGGAAAGGCCCAAGCUUGCUUGGGUACUCGAGUGGCGAACGGGUGAGUAACACGUGGGUGAUCUGCCCUGCACUUCGGGAUAAGCCUGGGAAACUGGGUCUAAUACUGGAUAGGACCACUUCUUGGAUGUUGUGGUGGAAAGUUUUUUCGGUGUGGGAUGAGCUCGCGGCCUAUCAGCUUGUUGGUGGGGUAAUGGCCUACCAAGGCGUCGACGGGUAGCCGGCAUGAGAGGGUGUACGGCCGCAUUGGGACUGAGAGACGGCCCAGACUCCUACGGGUGGGAGCAGGGGGGAAUGUUGGACAAUGGGCGAAAGCCUGAUGCAGCGAGGCCGUGGGGUGGAUGACGGCCUUCGGGUUGUAAGAACCGUUCGAUAGGGACGAAGCGUUUUGUGACGGUACCUGGAGGAGAAGCAACGGCUAACUACGUG
rnacentral:rRNA from 1 species